UGCUGGAGGUAUCAGAAGUGCGAAUGCUGACAUAAGUAACGAUAAAGCGGGUGAAAAGCCCGCUCGCCGGAAGACCAAGGGUUCCUGUCCAACGUUAAUCGGGGCAGGGUGAGUCGACCCCUAAGGCGAGGCCGAAAGGCGUAGUCGAUGGGAAACGGGUUAAUAUUCCCGUACUUGGUGUUACUGCGAAGGGGGGACGGAGAAGGCUAUGUUGGCCGGGCGACGGUUGUCCCGGUUUAAGCGUGUAGGUGUGUGUUCCAGGUAAAUCCGGUUCACUUUAACACUGAGGCGUGACGACGAGGCACUACGGUGCUGAAGCAACAAAUGCCCUGCUUCCAGGAAAAGCCUCUAAGCAUCAGGUAACAUCAAAUCGUACCCCAAACCGACACAGGUGGUCAGGUAGAGAAUACCAAGGCGCUUGAGAGAACUCGGGUGAAGGAACUAGGCAAAAUGGUGCCGUAACUUCGGGAGAAGGCACGCUGACACGUAGGUGAAGUGAUUUACUCAUGGAGCUGAAGUCAGUCGAAGAUACCAGCUGGCUGCAACUGUUUAUUAAAAACACAGCACUGUGCAAACACGAAAGUGGACGUAUACGGUGUGACGCCUGCCCGGUGCCGGAAGGUUAAUUGAUGGGGUCAGCGCAAGCGAAGCUCCUGAUCGAAGCCCCGGUAAACGGCGGCCGUAACUAUAACGGUCCUAAGGUAGCGAAAUUCCUUGUCGGGUAAGUUCCGACCUGCACGAAUGGCGUAAUGAUGGCCAGGCUGUCUCCACCCGAGACUCAGUGAAAUUGAACUCGCUGUGAAGAUGCAGUGUACCCGCGGCAAGACGGAAAGACCCCGUGAACCUUUACUAUAGCUUGACACUGAACAUUGAGCCUUGAUGUGUAGGAUAGGUGGGAGGCUUUGAAGCGUGGACGCCAGUCUGCGUGGAGCCGACCUUGAAAUACCACCCUUUAAUGUUUGAUGUUCUAACGUGGACCCGUAAUCCGGGUUGCGGACAGUGUCUGGUGGGUAGUUUGACUGGGGCGGUCUCCUCCUAAAGAGUAACGGAGGAGCACGAAGGUUGGCUAAUCCUGGUCGGACAUCAGGAGGUUAGUGCAAUGGCAUAAGCCAGCUUGACUGCGAGCGUGACGGCGCGAGCAGGUGCGAAAGCAGGUCAUAGUGAUCCGGUGGUUCUGAAUGGAAGGGCCAUCGCUCAACGGAUAAAAGGUACUCCGGGGAUAACAGGCUGAUACCGCCCAAGAGUUCAUAUCGACGGCGGUGUUUGGCACCUCGAUGUCGGCUCAUCACAUCCUGGGGCUGAAGUAGGUCCCAAGGGUAUGGCUGUUCGCCAUUUAAAGUGGUACGCGAGCUGGGUUUAGAACGUCGUGAGACAGUUCGGUCCCUAUCUGCCGUGGGCGCUGGAGAACUGAGGGGGGCUGCUCCUAGUACGAGAGGACCGGAGUGGACGCAUCACUGGUGUUCGGGUUGUCAUGCCAAUGGCACUGCCCGGUAGCUAAAUGCGGAAGAGAUAAGUGCUGAAAGCAUCUAAGCACGAAACUUGCCCCGAGAUGAGUUCUCCCUGAGACUUUAGGUCUCCUGAAGGAACGUUGAAGACGACGACGUUGAUAGGCCGGGUGUGUAAGCGCAGCGAUGCGUUGAGCUAACCGGUACUAAUGAACCGUGAGGCUUAACCUUACAACGCCGAAG
rnacentral:rRNA from 1 species